rnacentral:rRNA from 1 species
UAGGGAAUCUUCCGCAAUGGGCGAAAGCCUGACGGGGCAACGCCGCGUGAGUGAUGAAGGUCUUCGGAUCGUAAAACUCUGUUAUUAGGGAAGAACAAAUGUGUAAGUAACUAUGCACAUCUUGACGGUACCUAAUCAGAAAGCCACGGCUAACUACGUGCCAGCAGCCGCGGUAAUACGUAGGUGGCAAGCGUUAUCCGGAAUUAUUGGGCGUAAAGCGCGCGUAGGCGGUUUUUUAAGUCUGAUGUGAAAGCCCACGGCUCAACCGUGGAGGGUCAUUGGAAACUGGAAAACUUGAGUGCAGAAGAGGAAAGUGGAAUUCCAUGUGUAGCGGUGAAAUGCGCAGAGAUAUGGAGGAACACCAGUGGCGAAGGCGACUUUCUGGUCUGUAACUGACGCUGAUGUGCGAAAGCGUGGGGAUCAAACAGG